rnacentral:miRNA from 1 species
AGCAGGUCAGGUGUGGUGCAGU